rnacentral:tRNA from 1 species
GCCUCCGUGGUCUAACGGUUAUGACGCUCGCCUCGACAGCGAGAGUUCGCAGGUUCGAGUCCCGCCAGAGGCA